UGCAGUCGAACGGUAACAGGAGAAAGCUUGCUUUCUUGCUGACGAGUGGCGGACGGGUGAGUAAUGCUUGGGGAUCUGGCUUAUGGAGGGGGAUAACGACGGGAAACUGUCGCUAAUACCGCGUAGAGUCGAGAGACGAAAGUGCGGGACCGCAAGGCCGCAUGCCAUAGGAUGAGCCCAAGUGGGAUUAGGUAGUUGGUGGGGUAAUGGCCUACCAAGCCGACGAUCUCUAGCUGGUCUGAGAGGAUGACCAGCCACACCGGGACUGAGACACGGCCCGGACUCCUACGGGAGGCAGCAGUGGGGAAUAUUGCGCAAUGGGGGCAACCCUGACGCAGCCAUGCCGCGUGAAUGAAGAAGGCCUUCGGGUUGUAAAGUUCUUUCGGUGACGAGGAAGGCGUGAUGUUUAAUAAGCAUCACGAUUGACGUUAAUCACAGAAGAAGCACCGGCUAACUCCGUGCCAGCAGCCGCGGUAAUACGGAGGGUGCGAGCGUUAAUCGGAAUAACUGGGCGUAAAGGGCACGCAGGCGGCUAUUUAAGUGAGGUGUGAAAUCCCCGGGCUUAACCUGGGAAUUGCAUUUCAGACUGGGUAGCUAGAGUACUUUAGGGAGGGGUAGAAUUCCACGUGUAGCGGUGAAAUGCGUAGAGAUGUGGAGGAAUACCGAAGGCGAAGGCAGCCCCUUGGGAAUGUACUGACGCUCAUGUGCGAAAGCGUGGGGAGCAAACAGGAUUAGAUACC
rnacentral:rRNA from 1 species